GAUAGUGAGAGAUUCUCCUGAUCUGGUAGUAGAAGGUAGUUAGUUAGAGGUGUUAGGAGAGUAAGUGCUCUUUGAAGAGCUCUGUCUUCAGAAGUUUAUUAAAGAUAGUGAGAGAUUCUCCUGAUCUGGUAGUAGAAGGUAGUUAGUUAGAGGUGUUAAGAGAGUAAGUGCUCUUUGAAGAGCUCUGUCUUCAGAAGUUUAUUAAAGAUAGUCAGAGAUUCUCCUGAUCUGGUAGUAGAAGGUAGUUAGUUAGAGGUGUUAGGAGAGUAAGUGCUCUUUGAAGAGCUCUGUCUUCAGGAGUUUAUUAAAGAUAGUGAGAGAUUCUCCUGAUCUGGUAGUGGAAGGUAGUUAGUUAGAGGUGUUAGGAGAGUAAGUGCUCUUUGAAGAGCUCUGUCUUCAGGAGUUUAUUAAAGAUAGUGAGAGAUUCUCCUGAUCUGGUAGUAGAAGGUAGUUAGUUAGAGGUGUUAAGAGAGUAAGUGCUCUUUGAAGAGCUCUGUCUUCAGGAGUUUAUUAAAGAUAGUGAGAGAUUCUCCUGAUCUGGUAGUAGAAGGUAGUUUGUUCCACCAUUGGGGAACUCUGUAUGAGAAUCUUGUGCUCCUUAUGUAUGAAUUUUACCUGUCAGGUUGUAAAGAGCAGUAAAACCACUUCACUGAAUUACAGCAUUGGAGUUUGAGUUUAGUUCACCAGCUCUGAGACUUGAGACUGGAGCAGUAUUAGCAUUAGCUGCUAACCGCGCUAAGCUCUAGCUCUUUCACUAGUCAGAGAUGAGAAUUAUCGGCCUGCAGCCUGCUCCUGACCCCGGCUAGCACUCCUGGAGCAGCAUUAGCAUUACCUGCUAAUCACGCUAGUUAGCCCUUUUGCCGUUCAGAAGCGAGUAUAUCGGAGUGUAGCCUUCCUGUUUACCGUGUUUCCUCUCCUGCUGGCCCCUGACACCCUUUAUCUCUGUAAUGGGCAUUGUUUGUAUUGUUUUUGUUUCUUAAUAAAUAUAAAUUUGAUAUUUUUUUU